rnacentral:rRNA from 1 species
UACGUAGGGCGCAAGCGUUGUCCGGAAUUAUUGGGCGUAAAGAGCUCGUAGGCGGCCAGUUGCGUCUGCUGUGAAAUCCCGGGGCUCAACCCCGGGCGUGCAGUGGAUACGGGCUGGCUAGAGGCAGGCAGGGGAGAACGGAAUUCCUGGUGUAGCGGUGAAAUGCGCAGAUAUCAGGAGGAACACCGGUGGCGAAGGCGGUUCUCUGGGCAUGUCCUGACGCUGAGGAGCGAAAGUGUGGGGAGCGAACAGG